rnacentral:rRNA from 1 species
AACGAACGCUGGCAGCAUGCCUAACACAUGCAAGUCGAACGAGACCUUCGGGUCUAGUGGCGCACGGGUGCGUAACGCGUGGGAAUCUGCCCUUGGGUUCGGAAUAACAGUUAGAAAUGACUGCUAAUACCGGAUGAUGUCGAAAGACCAAAGAUUUAUCGCCCAAGGAUGAGCCCGCGUAGGAUUAGGUAGUUGGUGGGGUAAAGGCCCACCAAGCCGACGAUCCUUAGCUGGUCUGAGAGGAUGAUCAGCCACACUGGGACUGAGACACGGCCCAGACUCCUACGGGAGGCAGCAGUGGGGAAUAUUGGACAAUGGGCGAAAGCCUGAUCCAGCAAUGCCGCGUGAGUGAUGAAGGCCUUAGGGUUGUAAAGCUCUUUUACCAGGGAUGAUAAUGACAGUACCUGGAGAAUAAGCUCCGGCUAACUCCGUGCCAGCCGCCGCAGUAACAC